GACGAACGCUGGCGGCGUGCCUAAUACAUGCAAGUCGAACGCUUCUUUCUCACCGAGUGCUUGCACUCACCGAGAAAGAGGAGUGGCGGACGGGUGAGUAACACGUGGGUAACCUGCCCAUCAGAAGGGGAUAACACUUGGAAACAGGUGCUAAUACCGUAUAACAAUCGGAACCGCAUGGUUCUGAUUUGAAAGGCGCUUUCGGGUGUCGCUGAUGGAUGGACCCGCGGUGCAUUAGCUAGUUGGUGAGGUAACGGCUCACCAAGGCAACGAUGCAUAGCCGACCUGAGAGGGUGAUCGGACACACGGGGACUGAGACACGGCCCAGACUCCUACGGGAGGCAGCAGUAGGGAAUCUUCGGCAAUGGACGAAAGUCUGACCGAGCAACGCCGCGUGAGUGAAGAAGGUUUUCGGAUCGUAAAACUCUGUUGUUAGAGAAGAACAAGUGGGAGAGUAACUGUUCCCGCCUUGGCGGUAUCUAACCAGAAAGCCACGGCUAACUACGAGCCAGCAGCCGCCGUAAUAC
rnacentral:rRNA from 1 species